CCACGUUAGUGAAUAUACAUAAGCCCUCAGAUUCAAUUUUCAUUCACUGCGUCCUGUAAGGAAACAGCAGGGGAAAAAGCCCCGCUGUUGGGCCUCCACCCAGGCUUUAGGAAUUACCGGAUUUAUUGUUAACAAGCCCGAAGCAGAAGAUAGUAAACAAGGUGAAGCCAGUAGUUUUCUACGAACACAUCUAAGAACUGAUCAACUUAGAUAGGUACUAUAAUUGA